rnacentral:sRNA from 1 species
AAGGCAGGGUUCAGGGUUCAAUGUCCCGUCCGAUCGUAAUAGUCGCUCGGUUACUCGUGGCGUUUGACUCGACAAGAAUAUUUACGAACGGCCAUAUAUUGGCUCAGAGACGAUAUGGAUGGGAUUCUCGGGGACAAGAAAAAUGGAAAUUUCUUUUCCACAAAGUCAACAAGUGUUGGAUUCGGAGUCCUGCACGCGCAGUUGAGACGGAAGAGGCAGGGCCACGAUGCUGGGGCAGGGGAUUUAACCAAAACAGCACACUAAGAGGGUCUGGAGUCUCUAGACAGCCCAGAGCCGCACCAUUUGGCGGCGG